rnacentral:lncRNA from 1 species
UACACAGAGAGCCUGAGGCCAGCUUGCGCUGCUAUGUGAGACACUGUCUCAAACAAGUAAGUGAGGGAAGGCUUGGUUAUAAUUCUGAGUAUUGUAUUACGUACCGACUGCCGUGUGUUGGUAUCUGUGGCACUUCACUGUUCUGGUGGUACUCCAGCCACCAUGACAGUAUUAGAUAUGUAUCUGCAUGAUGCACUGAUCGGGGCACUUGCCUGAGGAGUUAGCAUGUUUCUGAUCAGGUGCAUACAUAGCCUCUCCCUGGAAUGGAGGUAGGCAAUGUUCCCUUUCUAGUAAGCUCUUUAUCAUGUAAAGGUACGGGGCAACAUUCCUUCUCCUUAGGUUUCCCUCCGGUUUUCACUAGCGCCUUAUGGUUUUAAAAGAGUCUUCUGUCUUCCCCCUUGAAGUUGUUGGUGAACAAAGGCCGUAUGGCUACACUCACAUGUAGAUCCGGAACACAUGCUCUAUGGGACUGUUUCCUGAGUACUUUAUCCUGCUCUGGAUCAGGCAGGAAGCAUACCAAAAAAAAAAAAAAAAAAAAAAAAAAAAAAAAAAAAAAAAAGAGUGCAUUUGUAUGAGUGUGGCUCAGAACGGCAGAACAAACCCUGGGAGUGAACUGGUUUGCAGUGUUUGACCUUCUGUGAACUUCAUUUAUUU